rnacentral:lncRNA from 1 species
AACAAACAAACAAAAAUCUGACUCCCUCUUCUAGUGUGUCUGAAGACAGCUACAGUAUACUUGCAUAUAACAAAUAAAUCUUUGGGCCAGAGCGAGCAGAGGUCCUAAAUUCAAUUCCCAACAACCACAUGAAGGCUCACAACCAUCUGUACAGCUACAGUGUACUCACAUACAUAAAAUAAAUAAGUAAAUCUUAAAAAAAAAAGAAAAUACUUUUAUGGUUGGAGAUCACCACAAAAUGAGGAAAUAAAUUAAUGGCAACGUUAGGAAGGUUGAAAACCACUGGAUUAGGGAAUGGGGCAGAAGCUGGAGUUUACAUACAAGAUAAAAACUUCAUGGGCUGGAGAGAUGGUAUGUAAAAGGGGACUGGAGAGAUGGCUCUGGGUUUAAGGGUACACACUGUUCUUGCAGCUGACUCAAGUUUGGUCUCCUGAGCAGCUCACUCAGCUUGUAACUUGAGUUCCAGGGGAUCUGAUGUCUGCUUCUGCCUCUGAAGGCUCUGUACCCAGUGUGCACAAUCAUACAGAUGUGUAUACAUAACUAUCACACUCACAGACAUGGAUACAUAACUAUCACACUCACAGACACGGAUACAUAACUAU